AAUCGGAUCGAAUCAAAGGAAAGAGACAAACACCGAGACAAAGUAGUAUGGACGAUGGUGUACCCGAGGUUCUACCUCCUCGUCAACAACAUGCCAUGACGAUGCCAUUCUCAUAUUCGCAACUCCUAUUGGCCGAUGGGGUGAGCCAUGAAUUUACACAACAAGUGCCGUCUUCUACUUUGAUUCCUCCUAUGACCACAAAUGUUAUUUUUAAUUCACAAGGUCCAUAUUUACCCCAUCAUGGUGGGACCAAUUGAAUUCAAGCAAACAGAACAACAAAGUGGACGCAGCUGGUUUUGUUAUAUAUAGAUGUAUGGGCUGCUAAAUGAGAAAAUUGUUAUGAUAAUUUGUUUAGGUGUAAUUUGUUAGAGAAUUAUUUUAGUAUUCGACUACGAGAUGUGUAUGAUAAAUUACUUUUGUUGGUCAUCGUAGUGUGAUGAACUCUCCCUUGCUGCAAUGAACUCUC